rnacentral:lncRNA from 1 species
UGUUUUUUUUUCUUUUCGUCGUGUUAGUUGAUACUUUCUACUUUUCGAACCUAUUUGUUUUCAUUUAAUAAAGAUGGUUGAGUGGAUCAUGAUGGUGCAGAGGCCGGGGUCUUUCCCUUUUUAUCUUACUUUUUAGUUGUUAUUCCCUAGAAAAACGUCCUAUAUUAGAUAAUAUACGAUUGUUUUCAAUUUGACAGAUGUCCAAGGCCUUACGUACGAGAUAUGCGGUUGUAUCAACCAAGAGGCUUUUGUACACCACCUUCACGUACUAGUAUCUUAUCUAUUCUAUACCUACUAAUAAAAAAAUAGGUAUUUUUAGUCCGUCAUGCUAUUUUAUGGAAAACCCCCUGAUGUUUCUUACAUGAAACUCGCAGUACAUAUCAAAUGUUUUUUAAAAUACUCAUAUCUUCUAAAAAGUAAAAACACGUUAUAUAUGGAAUUUGAUUAGAAAAAUAUAUAGAAUCUGAAUGUGAUGUUAUUUUACCUGUUAACCAUUUAAAAAAACUAUAUAGGGUGCAAUCUUAAUCAACAGUGUAUUAUUCAUCUUUCUUUCAUAUCGGUAAUGAUCCGGAUUGUGGAUGAACAUCUCAGCAAAAUUAGGAUUGGAGACGAAAUUGAAGAUCACUUGCCCGUUUCUUUGUACGUAUUAAAUCUACAUGCAAGCCGUGUUUAAAUAGAAGACCUGUAAAAUUUUGAACUUGCACUUUUAUAGGCAAAGACCAUCUUUGUUUGGGUCGUAGCUACAAAUACUUAGAUUAUACUUUUUUGUAAAAUAAAAGCGUGUGUUAUUCUUUUCUCCCGUUGUAGCGCACGGGCCCUCUUGCUAGUAUAAAUAAUGGCACAAACAUGUACUCUAGUUGCUAAAUCAUAUCCGUUGCUUUCAACUGGAUCGCUGGCCAGUGCGUCUAAUCUACGGCUGUACUGUUGGCGUAGCCUCGCCCUUGACGCCACCAGCCUACGAGUACUCUCCGAUCACCACAUGUAAGAAGCUAUACCAGGCCGCUGGAUCAACUCCCUCCGACCGGAACACAUGCGUAUAGUACGAAGUGGCCGGCUAAAAACUCACGGGAGAACACAAGGCACCAGACUCGAUUAUAGCAACAGGGGCGUGUCGCUCCUGAUCCUUUAUUUCUCUUUUUCUGGCGCUCUUUACAACGUAUAUGACCGCAUAUAUAUAUGGGCCAAACCGACCUGAAGCUAGCUAACCUAGCAAUCCAAAACUGAUUCAAACUAGGACUCCUAGUACUUGACGCUCAUGUUGGCAUGCAAGCCACGUCUUCAACUCUAAUACGUAAUUUGGAUUAAUCUCUAACAAUCUCUCCCUAAUCCAAACUUACCACAUCUACGACUCGACUAAACAUGUCAUGUCUGUAUGCUGAGUAUGACCCGCCUGGAAACAUGCAGCGCCUCCUUGCUCUACAAUGUUGUGCCACCGUCAUUGCUUAGCCGCUGCCUUGCACUCGGUCCGCACCAUACUCCUUGUACUUGCUUGCAGUAGAUCCACUCUCCACUGCUCGCACACCUCCUCGCUUUACAAUGGCUUCACCUACCACCGUCCGCCUUCGGCAUCACACCGAACCCAUGCUAGCCGCAACCAGGACGCUCCACGAGGACAUGGACAUGACUCACGGAACACCGUGCACACCGCUUCAACCUGUGACUCCUUUGACAAGACGACAGAAAACACAAUGACUAUUUUUUCUUUUUCUUUUUUUCUUUUUCUAUUUUUUUUUCUUUUUUUCUUUUUCUUUAGAACAAUCUCGGAUCAUCCUCAUCAUCCUGGAUGAGAUUGCAAUCCGCCAGAUUUUUCUUCUUACCCCUCUUCUUUUCGGGACACUCAUAAGCAUGAUGUCCUAGGUCUUGGCAAUUGAAGCACUUGUCCUUGGAUUUAUCACGACGACGCUCUCUUGCUCUCCACUCUGAUCUUGUCAACAAAAGUUGUUCGCCGUCUUGGUCGUCCUCGACAUAGCCGUGCAAUUGUUCCUCAUGAACCUUCAACCUCCCCAUGACUUCCUCCAUAGUCAUCGUCUUAAAAUCGCCAAACUGCUCUAUGGCAAUGCAAUCUGGAGAAAUUUUGGCGGAACAGCUCGAAGGGUUUUCUUAACGGAGUUGUCUCCUCGAACUUUUCUCCAAGCCCUCGUAUCCCAUUGACGAUGGUUGUCAUCCGGAGAGCAAAGUCAUCGAUUGUUUUCGUGUCCUUCAUCUUGAGCCUCUCGAACUCAGACUUGAGGGUUUGCAACCUCGCCUCCUUGAUGCGAUCGUCCCCAAGACGGUUCGUCUUUAUCGCCUCCCAAGCUUCAUGUGAUGUCGUCUUCUCAGCAAUGAAGGCGAACACAUCAUCUAGGAUACUUUGAUAGAUAGCCGUCAACGCCUUCUGAUCCAUCGUGUCGUCCACCUUGCCGGAGACGGCCACCACCGCAUCCCAAACUCCUUGUGCGCGCAUCAACGCCUUCAUCUUGACCGCCCAAAUUGAGUAGUUGCUCUUCGUCAGCAUCAGGUAUUGGACAAACACGCUUCCUCCUUUUUCAGCCAUGAUCUUGACCGUCGCUCCGCAGUCACAGCGCUCACCCAACGAUCUUGAACCUUGCUCUGAUACCAAAUGUUGGCGUAGCCUCGCCCUUGACGCCACCAGCCUACGAGUACUCUCCGAUCACCACAUGUACGAAGCUAUACCAGGCCGCUGGAUCAACUCCCUCCUGCCGGAACACACGCGUAUACAUACGAAGUGGCCGGCUAGAAACUCACGGGAGAACACAAGGCACCAGACUCGAUUAUAGCAACAGGGGCGUGUCGCUCCUGAUCCUUUAUUUCUCUUUUUCUGUGCUCUUUACAACGUAUAUGACCGCAUAUAUAUAUGGGCCAAACCGACGUGAAGCUAGCUAACCUAGCAAUUCAAAACUGAUUCAAACUAGGACUUCUAGUACUCAGACGCUCACGUUGGCAUGCAAGCCACGUCUCCAACUCUAAUAUGUAAGUUGGAUUAAUCUCUAACAUGUACUACCAAUUAAGAGGCUUUUGUAGCCCAUGUCCGUGCGCAGCGGAUGCUGAUGCUGACAGGCACGGUUGCCGUCGACGCUGUGGCAUCAUCAACGGCUAAUUGACUGAACCGCUAGCUAGCUACUUCGACAGUUCAACGUACUCACCUCAUCAUGGAGUCAAACGCCUGCGACAGCCGAUCGACCUGUCGAACCAGUUUCCUGUUAGAACAAGAAACUGCAAGACCGUGCCUUUGUACUGCCACCUGCCGUCCUUCUGACAUUGACAUUUGGAUGAUCGGUACGUACGGAACAUUGACAAUAUAUAAUGGCGAUUUAUUUUGAUGUGUCGUGUCAUCGACGUCCUUCUGGGAUCUGACUUUACUUAAUCUCCGUCCAUUCUGUCAUUCUGAUCAUUAGAUCAUUGAGAUGGCAAUGCUAAGCUCUCAUGUGAGUACUCGGUCGGUGAUUUCCUCAGCUAGUGGUAUUUUUUUUUCCGAGAAGGGAGUGAAUAGCAUAAAACUACCACUUUUCGGAUUAGGGUUUUAAAAAACUAUCAGAAAUUUAUUUGUCACUAAUAACUACCAAAAUCAUAGUCGGCUGUUUCAAAAAACCCAAACAAACCUUUUGCUUAGUUUUAAACCGUUUUUUGACAAACCUGGCCCGCCAGCCACGCGUGUAGGGGCGGAGACAAUGCGGCUGUUAACGGCCAUUACCAGACCAGUGCGGUCGGUCGAAACCAAACCGCUCAGUCAAAAAUAGACCGAGGGGUAACUCUCUUCCUCACUCCCGUGCUCUCACUCCUCUCGCUCUCACUCUUCUCUCUGGUUGCCUAACUCGCCGCCGCUGCUGACAGCAAUGGUCACCUUCCUUCCGCCAUGCCUUCCUGGAACGAUGGGUAAUCGAGCUCACAUGAUGACUGUGACAUCACCAGCAUGGACCUGGGGCAGUGGGUAUAUGUUAUUUCCUUGGCCACAGUUAGGGUUAGGGUUCUUGCUGAGGUAGGGUUACAGUUCUUGUUGAGUUAGGGUUAGUGCAAUUGGGGAUUGAUCUGUUUUAUUUAGGUGAGAUUGGGGAUUAAAAAUAUUGUUGCUGCUGUGGAUGCAGGAGACCCCUAGCAUCAUUGUAGAGCCCCAUCUAUGUGGCUAACUCGAGGAUUCUGAACCCAAAUGCAUGCUACAUCACAUGAAGCCUCUUAAGUGUGUGGCUUUUGAAGGAAUUUGCACCGGAAGGCGUUUUCAUGGUUGUCCAGUGCAGGUUAUAGACCAUCGUUUUCUCUCAAUCUAGCACUAGAUCUAUUAAUUACAUCUGUGCAUUUUCUAAACCCAUGCAUAAGGGCAUCUCCAAAGAAGAACUGCACAGCUCUGGUAUAUUUUGCCGGGACCAUUUUUGUUAAUUUUUAUCAUCCAACGGGGACACUUACCUGUUCGCGGAGCGGUCCGACGUCCGCUUUCCGGUAAAUCUGAGACAAAUGAGGGGAGCUAUGUGGGAGUCCUGGCAUGCACUUGAUCAAUCCAAAGCCUCCGCGUGGUCGUCCUCUCUUUUCUCUCUUUUCUCUCUCUUCACAUGCAUGGUCCCCCUCUUCUCUUUCUCCUCACAACCGGACACCACACCAUAAUAUUCCACCACAUGCAUGGUCCUCCUCCACUCUCUCUCUCCUCCCAAACAGAUUAAUUUGUAAAUAGCAUUGGAUGGACGGCUCCGGUAUCAUGCCCACGGACCAUGUCUGGACAUAAAGACGGACAUUUGUGGUGUCCAUUUCUGGGUCAACGUUGGAGAUGCCCUCACGCAGCAAAUUUUACUGAAUAUGCCUUGUAGUAUAAAUCUAGUGCCGUGUUUUGAAUGUGAAGAAUUUGUAUAAGAAGGAUAUGCAUUAGUAGAACUGGUUAUCGACUUGUGCACCCGCACGGCCUAGCUAUUAUAAGGAUAUAUAAUUAUUAAUAAAAAUCUAUUAAGAUGUAAACUGGAAGAGUUAAAUUGUAGAUAUCAUACAAUUGGUCAGAUGUAAAGUUAUUGAAAAAAUGAUAACACAUAAUAAACACAUGUAUUAUAAUCUUAAUUAUUGAAUUCAGUGGAUCCAUUUUCCCAUUAUGUUGCACAAAGCACAAUCAUUGGCCUGAAGGAGGCCUUCAUGUCAUAGUAGCAAGAUAAACAUCUUAGUGAAUUUUACGCCACCAAUUAAUGGAUGGAGAGACUAUGAAUUAAUUCGAUCCAUAUGGCAAGAUAAAUAUCUUCCUAGCUUAUUUCAGAUAUAUAACACAACGCAACAGAAGUUAGGAGAAAGAUACACUACACACACCGACUACUAAAAAACAAAAUUUAAGUGUGAGAAACAUACCCCGCAUAGGCUAGUUUUGUGUUUUCAAAAAUUAUUGGUGUGUGAUUUUUUGCACAGACUCAUAAUACUUGAUACGAUUAUUUUACCCCUCAAAAAUUUAACUUUAGUUGAUGUGGUUAUGAAAUACCCCUUUUUGAAAUACACAACUAUUUGCCUUGCCAACCCCUAUCAGAAAAAACAAAGAAAAAACUGGCAGUUUCCCCUCCACUUGUAAUGAACUUUGAGGACAGUUUCAAUUAACAAGUAAGCAGUCGAAUAACAUAAGCAAUAUGCACAUGUGACACAUGAUUGAACGUGAAAAAACUUCCUCAACUUGAGGAGUAAAAAAAAGCACGGUUGUGGACCGACCGGUCCACACAACUUCACUAUGAGAACGGUGAGUACAAAGUCUUCUCUAGAACCUCUAGAGAGAUUUACAACACACUCUCCACAUUGCCAACUGACGGCAGUAACAACAACCACAAGAGGAAGCAGAGUUUGCACAGCUUCUGUCUCCUUUCGUAUUUUACAAACUGCUAUCUAACCGCUGAACCAAAUAGCAUCAAAUUUGACAGACAAGUAGACACACGAGUUUCUGAGAUUCCCUCAAAAUUUCAGCUCAAUCGAACAUGAUUUGCCUACCCAAACUGUCGGUCUCCCAAAUAGCUAUUCCAUAUUACUGAUACGUUUUGUGGAAAUCAUAUCGGAAAUAGUUGCAGAAUAGAUGGAACGGAACCGGUGCGUUGCGCCAUCACCUUCGGGAGUCCUAUAUAUAACAGCUAGGGAACAGAGCCUUUGCGCAUACGAUCGAUCGAGUAGCCAGCGUUCAUGCAUAGGGAAGCAGCAAUGGACCCUGUGAGUGGUAGUCCAUGGGCGUCAGUUCCAGGAAACCGACUGCUCCCGAUCCGCGUGUCAACAGAACCUGCCGGCACCGAGUGGACGCAGGAGAACCCCGCGGAGGAGCCCGUGAGCCCUACAGCAAGAGCCAUGGAAGAUAUAGGUAUUUAUAUCGUCGUCACCAUCGGCCUCGACACGCCGAUAAACCUGAGCAUCUUCCGAGCCGGUAUCGAAUCUCUGCUUGCCCGAUGCCCGCGCUUGGGAUGCAUUCAAGUACGCACUCUUUCUGAAGGUUUUCAAGUCCGUACUCUUGUCACUCUCUACGGCUGCUUAACCGCGCGCUGGAAGAACAUUCAUGAGCUCCGUUUAAUUACCAUAUGCACGACCAUGCACGUACAGGUGGCGGACGGGUCAAGCAAUGGAGGGGCGCGAUGGGCGCGCACGGCUGUGAACGCCGAGGAUCAUAUGAUCGUCCCCAGGCUGGAUGGCGCGGCCGUGGCCGCCGACCCAGACAAGGCCGUGGAGGACUACGUCGCCUCGCUGUCCACGCUGCCCAUGGACCGCUCCCGCGCGCUUCUGGAGUUCCAUCUCCUCGACUUCCCGACCUCCGAGGCGGCCUCCACCGUGGCGGUCCGGGUGCACCACGCCUACGGCGACGGCAUGUCUCUAAUGGCGCUUCUCAUGAUGUCCACGCGCAACGCCGCCGCCGACACGAAGGCUCGGCCAGCCACGCCUCCGCGUCGUCGUCGUCCUUCCCGCACGGGCGCCAUCUACGCGUCGCGACGCCGGCCCCCGCUUUCCACGGGCGCCCUGGCGCUCGUCACGUGGGUCUGGUCGUACCUCGUGCUCGCGUGGAACACCGCGUCGGACGUUGCCUACUUCGCCGCCACGAUUCUGUUCCUGAGUGACCCGCGCACCCUGUUCAAGCGUGCCGACGACGAUGAGUUCCACGCCAAGCGCUUCGUCCACCGGAGUCUUAGCCUGGAUGACGUCAUGUUCCUCAAGAGCUCCAUGAACUGCGUACGUAUAAUUAAGCUAAGCUAGCAGUUUAAUUUGUUCAUCAAAUUAUUAUAUUUUCCCCACGGACUGUUAACUUUCUUUCUUUUUUGCCGGGAACCACAGACCGUCAAUGAUGUGCUGGUUGCAGUGACUUCUGCUGCUCUAUCAAGAUAUUACUUCCGCAAGUCCGGUAAGUACCUCAAGGGUAACAAGCAAGUGUUUAAUGGUGCAACUGUUUUUACUAAACAGUUCUUUACUUAAACUUCAAUGUCAGGUGACACUAACACUAGCAAAAUCUGUUUGCGAUCACUCCUUCCUGUCAACACAAGGCCAGCCACUAGCCUACAGGUAAGGUAAGAUGUACUUACCUUUUCAGAAAAUAUAUGCAAUUAAUGGAUGCUAAAUGCCAUGCACCAUCGAUUUUCACCAACAUAUACCGCCUCUGUACCAAAAUAUAAGACGUUUUUGUAGGCUAAACUGGCCUAAAAAACGUCUUAUAUUUUGAUACGGAGGGAGUAUCUCUGAACAUUGUCCGAUGAUAUCACCAUCAUAUUUCAUAGAUUACCAGUAUUUUAACUUAUUUUUCUGAUUUUACCACUAUGAACAGACAUAUGUUAAUGUGAUAGAAUCUGAUAAGAGGAACGAGGUGACAUGGGGAAAUAAACUGGGCUACAUUAUUCUUUCAUUUUAUCUGGCCAUGCACGAAGAUCCACUUGCAUAUAUUCGCAAGGCAAAGAAGGUUCUUGAUAGGAAAAAGAGGUCACUCGAAGUGAUAUUGACAUAUAAGAUUGGUCUGAUUUUCACGAAAUUUUUUGGUGUCAAGGUAUACUGCUUUGUUUCCCUUCGCUCAAUCUAAAAUUAAACUACAAAAAACUUAAUCUAUCAAAUUAAGUAACAGCUCAUAAUUCUUCUUCUUCGUUUUAGUGUUUCAAAUUGCAUUACAUCGUGAUGAUUGAACCAGGUAGGAACUUCAAUCUUUCGGCGUCUCUUCGCACGUACAACAAUAGUUUUCUCAAACAUGGUUGGACCAGCUGAACAGGUAGAGUUAUGUGGACACCCAGUGGCUUUCCUUGCGCCUAGCGUCUAUGGGAUUCCAGAGGUAGGGAACUUGUGAUCUUGCAUACUUCCAGUUUUUCAUAAGUUACUUAAUUUCUAUAAGAAUGCAACUGAUUAGUCAUGUACAUUUGUAUCCACUAGCAAAACUGGUAACACAAAGAUAUCUUAAACUUUGAAGGGGUACAUUGUUUUAGUUUGCUUUAGGUUGUGAACACUAUUAUGUCACCUUCUUAGGAAACGUCGUGUACUGAUAAAAGUUCAUCGUGUGUGUAAAAAAUAUUCAUUGUGUACUUCAAAAAUAUUCAGUUUGUGUUUAAAAAUGCUUAGUGUGUAUUUUAAAAAAGCUUAGAGUAUAUGAAAAAAAUGUUUACCUACUUUUGAAAAAAUCCAGUGUGUAUUUACAUAAUAUUCACCAUAUAUACAAAAAAGUUCAUCGUAUAUCCAAAAAUGUUCACCAUCUAUUAAAAAUGUUCAGCAUAUAUUGAGAAAAGUUCACUGUGUUUUGAAAAAAUGUCCACCUUAUAUUCAAAAAAUGUGUGUGUGUGUGUGUGUGUGUGUGUGUGUGUGUGUGUGUGUGUGUAAAAAUAUAUUUAUACUGAAAAUAAAAUAAAAAUUCCACAAGAAGGCAAAAAAGAAACAGAAGGAACAAAAAAACAAAACAAACUGGUAAUAGAAAAAAAGAUAAACAGAAAAUGAAAAGUAAAAACAAAAAAGGAAAGACAAAAAAUAAAUAAAUUGCCGGAGAAAGAAAAACCAACACAGAAAACCAAACUGUAAACCACAACAGAAAACCCCAAAAAAGCGAAAUAGCAGAAGCAACACAGUGAACCUUGAUCUGGGCUGGUCCAACUAGCUUUGCCUGUGGGCGUCCCAGCAUCCGACGCCCACGGGCGUCAUAUAGCUAGGAGGAUUCGCCGACAAAUUAUUUAACUGCAUAAGCAGAUUAAUGGAAAUUAUUCAGGUGGAGCCCUGGGCGUUCGGUUAGACCGAACUAUUCGGUUCGGUGCUUCGGUUUAUUUUAUUUUUUGAAACGUAGGCUCAAGAAGAGCUCGGCUUUGGAUUAACAAAGCCAUCAACCGGCCAGGAUUACAACUUUGGAAUACAACCACACUCCAACAAAAAGGAAAUAAAAACAAAAGGCAAAGAAACAAAGGCGCCUAGGAGCAGCUCACAGAGGCAUACAACAAGCUAGCUAGCUAGAAGUAAAGAACACAUAGCUAGAGAUGCCGGGAACCCCAUACACGCCUAGAACCAAGGCAAAAACGCUAAGCGUCUUAGCAAAGAGCACCGACGACGGAGCAAAGCACGCCAUUGCCAAACGCCUGGGCUUGAAGGAGACACAUCCAUCCAGAUCCAUCGUCACAGAAGGCCCCUGCCUCCUCGCCUGGCUCAAGGCGCCGCACCGGUGAGCGAUGGACAUGCUCACCCUAGAACUUGCAUGGAUGGCAUCGCAGGAAACCACAGGGGCGGAACCAGGCGUUCCCAGCCUGCCGUCGGCGACUUACCUGAAACAGAGCAAUGCCAAAUGCAAGAGUCCAGGCAUGAAACAGGGGCGAGCUGUCGGAAUGCACAAAUGGGCAGCAGCAAGAGCCAAAACCAAAUCGUCGGCUCGCUCGACGAGCAGAAGAGCAGCCACCGGAGGAGGGCAACCCUAUCCCCUCACGUCCUGGAGAAUCCACGGGCACCGGAGGAGCCCUGCAGCCCAACAAAGAGCACCAAACCAGCUUGACCACAUGCCCAGGGGGACACCGCCGCCGCUGGAGACACUCUGCCGCCGCCGACACACUCCACCUACACCACCACGAAGCCUGUAACCCAUCUUUGUUCCCAAAACAGCGCCUUCAAGAAGGUUACGGCGCCCUGGGCGUCGCCGCUGCCCAACAAUGUUGAGGAUUUCACCCGGGAAACAAAGGGGAAGGGGGUAGGGGGGCAGGACCUGACCGGCGCCUCCAGGAAGGUGAGCGGGCCCGCGGGCGUCGUCGUUGUCGCAGCCGAUACGGCUGGCUAGGGGUUUCCCCCGGUCCUGCAGCCCCGUCGCCCACUCCCACCCGCAGAAGACCGCAGUCCCAUGACGAAACAGGGCGGAUCUGAGGGGGGAGGCGCUCGUUGGGGAAGAAGGGGAAUGGAGGCGGCCAGAUCUGACGCGACAGGAGACGAAUCCGCCGCCGCCGCGCGCUGGCCUGCAUCCACCGGGGCUCUCGCCCCCCGCACGGCCGAGAUAACAGCGACCCCCGCCCACGCCACCGGGAGCCGAAACCGGCGGCGCCACACCUGCCGGGGCCGCCGCCCCGGAUCCAAAGGCCCCCCACAGGUGGCGAGGCGGCGAGGGCCCCGCUGCCGCCUUCAUCAGCAGGGGGGCCGAGCUUGCCCGGCAGCAGCUGCCUCAGGCGGCGGCGAGGGAAGGGAGAGGAGGGGAGGGGGCGGCGGGGCUAGGGUUUUCGCCCCUCGGGUCGCCUAAGCGGGGCGGCACGAGGGGGGAGCGUCUCCCGUCCUUCGGUUUAUUUGGAAUUUUGGUUUCUGAUUUUGCUAACCAAACGGUUUUAUGAGAAAUCAAUAACCGACGCUUCGGUCCAUCGAGAUCUCGGUUAGGUGUUGGGUUACAACCGAAGAGAAAAACAAAAAUAGGAAUGAAUCAAACAUGCAUAUAUCAUAAAGGACGGGGUGAAGGAGCUCCGACAAAAAUCGUUGCUAGCAGGUUGCUCAACUAACCCGCUGCAUUAGGAUCACUAUGCGAAGAGCCAUCCUGAGGCACACUGAUCCACUCACUAGGACAUUUUUGUCCUGGGUCCGCCCCUGAUUCGGGCCUGUAGAGUAAUCAAUUGAGGGUUUCUUUAGCUCAGCUUUCUUUCCUAGAUUUUGUACUAGAACAAUCUUAAAAUUAGUAACCUCACAAAAAAAAUUAAAAUUAGUAAACCCUUAGAGUAUUUCAUUUUUUUCCUAUACCAUGAUUGGCAAUUAAUUUCUAGGAUUGCUUUUGUAGGCUCUGAUUAUUCACUACCAAAGCUACAGAAGCACUAUCAAGAUAAUUCUAUCAGUUGACGAGGACAAGUUUCCAGAUUAUCAUCAACUUUUGGAUGACUUUGACCAGACCCUCACGGUCAUGAAGGACGCGGCUUCAAGACUUUCAACGUCAACUAAGAAUGACUNNNNNNNNNNNNNNNNNNNNNNNNNNNNNNNNNNNNNNNNNNNNNNNNNNNNNNNNNNNNNNNNNNNNNNNNNNNNNNNNNNNNNNNNNNNNNNNNNNNNNNNNNNNNNNNNNNNNNNNNNNNNNNNNNNNNNNNNNNNNNNNNNNNNNNNNNNNNNNNNNNNNNNNNNNNNNNNNNNNNNNNNNNNNNNNNNNNNNNNNNNNNNNNNNNNNNNNNNNNNNNNNNNNNNNNNNNNNNNNNNNNNNNNNNNNNNNNNNNNNNNNNNNNNNNNNNNNNNNNNNNNNNNNNNNNNNNNNNNNNNNNNNNNNNNNNNNNNNNNNNNNNNNNNNNNNNNNNNNNNNNNNUUUAGUUAAAAUAAGUACUAACACCUCUCGAUUUUUUUUCAUGCAGUAAAUAAAAUUAGUCCCUAUUACAUGCAUCCUUUUGAAUGUCUUUCAUCUUUGAGAGUACACUCACAAUAGAGCGGUGAGCGCGCAUAUGACAAACGACUGCGCCAAGCCAUAGCAUGCUGACAUUCAUCCGCUACUAAAUCCGUAACUGAUAUAUAAAGGUUGCAGCGAUCUUCCAUUACAAAAGAAUCAUUCAACAAGAUUAUCAUUCAUAGAAUAUUUUCCAAGAGGUAAUCAUUCUGCCAACUCUAGCUAGCAAAUCAAAGCGCUUCUUCUUAUCCGUGCUCUUCGGUCGUUAGGCCGGCCGCAGAGUGAGUUGCCAAUCCGAUCCACUCAGGGGAUCCUGCAAGGAAAUUCAGAAUUUUCGUUCGGUGACACACAAAACUUGAGAAAGCAGCUGAUGGAAGGACGAACAAAACAAGGUACGUACUGGGAGCAGUCAAAGUCGGGGCUGGUGGGGAGGAACCCGACGCUGAGGCCGCACGCGGACGGGAGGCCGGCGGCGCGGCCGGAGUCGACCUUGCCGGCGGCGAGCAUCUCCGACAGGAGGCACGCGCAGAGGUCCCGGCGCUGGUCGGCGCCCGGCGCCAGGUCCUUGACGUCGCUCAGCCCCUGGCAGCACUGCGGCGGGAUCUCCUCGUCCAGGCCGGCCACGUACCCGGUGCACUCGCUGAAGGCCGUCUGCGCGACGCUGCAGUCGCUCUCGUCGCCCCCCGCUUCGGCGCCACGCCGGCCGCUGGCCAGGACGGCGAGGAGGAGCGCGGCGGCCACCACGGCCGGCGAGUGGCGGGUCGGCGUCAUGGUGGAAGACCGGAAGGUGGUUGCGCCGCAGCGGUCUGGGCUUUGGACGAGGGUGGUCGGUGGUGGGAUGCGUGCUGCCUCGGAUGGAUUCUUGGAAGGUACGUAUAUGUAGUACGUGGCGCGCGUCAGUCUCGCGACUGCAUGAUGAGUAAGGAAUGCCGGAGUAGGAAAUCUCUCGCGUAGGCGAUGGUAAUUUACCUCCUGCAGUUUUGUUAAGCAAUGGGUAAUCAGGUGAUUUUGUGCUUCGUUUUGGAAAGGGUGGAUUAAAUUUCAUAAUUGUCUGCUUCGUUUGGGAGAGCAAAGAUUUAAUUUAAUCCUAGUGUACGUAAUUUUCAGCUUCGUCCUGGAAAGCGGAGAUUAAUCACGUCCUAAUUUUGUGCUUCGUUUUGGGCAGCAGUGGUUAGUAGCUUGAUUAUAGUUCCCAGUCAAAUCUUUCCAAUACGUACAUUCACACUGACUCGUCGCUCCAUUUGUAAGGCUUUCCAGUUCAGUCAGAGAAGCUCCUAGUUUUCUUCACAAAAUAUUCCCUGCGAGAGCAUGAACUUCCUAGUACAAGUGCCACACCGAAGGAUACGCGGCAGUUGCACCGAGGGAUACUCAGGUGGCGAUGCGAGGUCCCUUUGCCGACGACUGGCCGAGAAAACAAGAGGCAGGGUACCUUAGAUUGGCGUUCGUGUGUAAUUUAUAUAUUAUUUUUUAUCAAGUUCAUUCAUGUUUACCUGGCAGGGCGACAUCGCAUGGAAUAAAAUUUUCCUUACAACAUAAGCCCUCCGACCUAAAAUAAGUGUCUCAACUUUUAGUACAAACUUGCACUAAAGUUAGUAUAAAGUUACGACACUUAAUUUAAGUCGGAGGGAGUAUUUGUCUUACUGUGGUCAUGAUUGCAGAUUUCAAGGGGCUAGUGUUGUUCGAUCAUAACUCAUAAGAGUCGAUGAUGCUUGAUCUGAUGGUUUGAUGUUCAGUGCCUUCACUGGUGCUAGUUUUACUCUGGUGUCUGGUUUUCCAACUUCAUCCCUCUAUGCUCUCGGUCUUCUUUUUUGGCAGUCUUACGAAGAAACAACGGCCCGAGCAAAUUUUCUUGGGCGUGUUUGGUUGCAGUAGUGAACAGUAGUUGCAUUGCAUACACAUCUUAAUCCAGCCUGGUUGAGGAAAAACAACCCCAAAUGCGUCAUCUGCAAGUUGUUUGCUUGCCUGCAUCUAGGGUCGCUGCAUUAGGUAAUACGUAAGUGCACUUUGUUUGGUUGCCUGCAUUGGCCCAAGCGGCACAUGAACACGGUGUUUGGUUGCACGCAUGAGGUAUGAUUAAGAGCUAGCAGAGGGAGGGGGAGAAGAAAUGUAGUGUGCGCAGGACAAUGGCAACUGCGGUGGAUAGUGGUCGUGGCACCGUGUCCGACAUGACGAGCAUCGAGUCGUGGACGAGCGACCCCGUCGGCGGCACGGCGAGCGACACCGUCAGCGAACUAGUUGUGGUGCUCGCGCAAAGACAGUCGACAGAGGAGGAGAAUGCAGUGCUCGCACCAUGGUAUCGUCAAUGCGGUGGAUGAGAGAGGAGGCCGAGAUGAUCGACGCCGGAAACAACUAAAGUGUAGUAGGUCGAGAGAGAGGAGGCCAAGAUGAUCGACCCCGUCAGCGGCGCGGUGAACUACAGUGUGCGCGGAGGCAGAGGACACAAGAAAGCAGUGUGCGCGCCAUUGCAGCGACAGUGCAGUACGAGGACGACAGAGAGCGACACCGGAAACGACUCUAGUGUAGCAGGACGUGGGCAAGGAGAUCAAGGGGAAGGGCGUCGGCAUCGAGAGGGACGAAUAGGAGGGCUCUCAGCAGAGGACAAAGGAGCUCGACAUGGCGGCGUUUGUGCAGUAGACUGCUGUUCAAAGAGAUGAAGCUACGAUGUCGAAACCAAAAACUUACAACACGAAUGUUGCGAGGAACUGUGAGAUUAGGCUGCUGGUGAAAGGAAAUUUCAAAUGAUCGAUCGUGCAUGAUGAAUCUGACAAAAUUCUUCCAGAAUAGCUCCAAAUGAGAACACGAAAUUAAGAACUUACGGCCGACGAAACUACAAACCGAUCGCCUGAAUGAAACCGUAGCAUCGAGGUGCAUCUUUUUCGUGUAGAGCUUACCUCGAAUCGAAGCACUGUUGUGUAGAUCCGAAGGGGCUAGGAAGAACAGAAUUAGAGAGAAGGUUAAUGGAGGUAGGAGUUGCAUACCAGUUUUUUUUUUUUGAGACAAGGCUGCAUACCAGCUAGUAUCCCUCCCAUCUUCCCUUGUGCAAGUGGCCCAUCAUGUGCGCUCGCCUCAGUCAGGCUUGCUAGAAACUGCCGAUCUGAGCGUUUCCAGCGAGUCAAGCCCAGAUGUGCUUUAAGUUUCGUGCUGUGCAGGCCCAACAGUAAAUGCAACCAACCAAACGGACUCAGUCUUUCCCGCACGGGCCAGGCUGGGCCUAGUGCAGGCAACCAAACGCGCCCCUUGUGGUUCAGUGGUUUAAAGAUGAUCACCUCUGGAGGUGGAGGGCUCAUGUGGUUCUUCAAAACCUUUGAGGUUUAUUCUUAACCUGUGUAGGUUUGGUCCUUUGCGGUUUUUCUCCAGAGCUUUGGAGGGAAGUUGAGAAAGGCUGCAGGUGGGGACGACGACUUCAGAGGACUAAAUUUAAUGUUUGUUUCUAUCGAUCACUGUUUUAUAAUAAAAUUGUAUCAUUGCUCUCAAAAUCAGUUUGGUUUUGCUAAUAAAAAACAUAUGAUUCGCUAGGACUGUAAGGUGGUCUUCCUUAAAAGGGGAAACUACGAUGAGAACCGAGCUGAUAAAAUAUUGAAAUGCCUCCUUAGAAACCAGUACAUUUGAUAUUAUCUUACCCAUAAUUUAUUAGAAACCAAUACAAAACUUGAGCUAAACCAGACAAGCAAAACGAAGAUGCAACCAAAAUUUAUUCAAAAUGAAUUUUAACCUAAUCACCAAAUUAAUAGAACUUUUGAACGGAGACAACGACUUGGUUAACUUGUUCCAAGAUUUCAUAGCAUAAUCUAAUUAAAUAAAUGUAUCCUUUCCUAUCUGAUCAUACGGCAAAGCUCAGGGCAAAUAGAAAGGGGGGAACCAGGAAAUCAUGAUCAUGUUAUCCUCAAGCCCUUGUAAGCAGGGCAGAAUACUACACCCAUGAACACCUACCAAUCCCUAUGUAACUUCAAUGCAAUUCUACAAGAAAUGUUCACUUUCGUGAAUAAGCAAGGUUGGUCUGUCAAGAAAAGAUGGUUCAAGGUCUCUGAAAAUAGAUGGCUGAAGGUUACUGUUGUUAUCUGAAGUUCAAGGUUAGUGCCGUUUCAUAUUUAAUCGUCCAAUAUAGAAACUGUCCUGAUGCUGAAUAAAAAUGCAUUUGAACCCGUCAUAUAAUGCUCUCCUGCUCGGUACCAAUCCCACUAGAUGACUGAUCUCAGUAGCAACAUCAAAUCACGGACAUAUAAUGCUCUUCUACUCGGUGUUCACCCUAUAUUUGCCAACCCGUAAUCGAAAGCAUGCCUAAUUCAAGAUACAGCAGCUAGUCACCCCAUCAAAGUUCCAACUUCCUCUCCUGCCUGACCAAUUUCUCCAAAGGCUAAAAACAACUGAGAGCAACAGAACCAGAAAUGCUAGUCAAGGAGACACCAAGGUUUAGGAAGGAAGCACAACCUUGAGAAGCGUUCAGAAAUUAUCUUCUGAAUGGAGACUGCAAAUUGUAAGUAUUUAGAAAUUUCAUAUACCGCACUUAAAUAAAUGUGUCCUAUCUGAUCAUACGGCAAGCUCAAGGCAAACAGAACAAAAUAUUUUACCAAUGAAUGCUAGAUGUAACUUCAAUACCAUUCUACUGGAGGUAUUUAUUUUUAUUUAAGAUGGCCCAAGGUAGUUCUGGAAAUAAGAUGGCUCAAGGUUACUGCUGUCAUCUAAAGUUUCAGGUUACUGCUGUUAUCUGAAGUUUCAGGUUACUGUUGUUAUCUGAAGUUUCAGGUUACUGUCGUUCCAUAUUCAAUCAUCCUAUAUAGAAAGUGUCAUCAUGAUAAACAAAGUGUAUUUCACUGCAACCGGCAAUCCCAGUAGAUGCCUGGCUUCAAUAGCAACAUCAGAUCACCAAUGCUCUCCUACUUGGUGUUCACUCUAGUUUCCACCCCAAAACUUGAAGCAUGCCAAAUUCCAGCUACAACCGCCAGUCACCCCAACCCAAGUUCCAACUUCCUGUCCAGCCUGAUCAAUUUCUCCAAGGCCAAAAAAACUUGGGGACAACAUAACAAGAAAUACUAGCUAAGGAGGCACCAAGUUUUAGGAAGGAAGCACAAGAAGCACGUAAUACCGUAUACACCCGCUACGUAUAACCUCAGUAGGUACCAAGGAAUCACUCGCUCAUGUGAAAUUGCAAGAACUCGCGAUGUGGCAUUGCUGUGAAUCAAUCAUACUAAUUCAAUUUCGUCAUGGAGCUUAAGGGGGGAAAUCAAACUAAACAAACAAUCAGUUACCACUCAACGAAAUUCAUACAGAGAACUUAGAAAGCUUAGAUACAUGCUAAGAUGGAACAGUACUCUGAAACUCCAGAAUUAUGUUCAGUAUAACAGCAAGAUUUAUUCCCCCAGCAGAGUAAAACAGAACCACCAUGCCAUGCCAUAUCCUUAUGAUUAUACAACUUAGAACGAAUCCGAGAGCAAGCUUUUACCCUCCCAGCUGGCAGCGGUUGCUCAG